rnacentral:rRNA from 1 species
GAUGAACGCUGGCGGCGUGCUUAACACAUGCAAGUCGAACGGAAAGGCCCUGCUUGCAGGGUACUCGCGUGGCGAACGGGCGAGUAACACGCGGGUGAUUUGCCCUGCACUUCGGGAUAAGUCUCGGCAACUGGGUCGAACACCUGCCAGGAGCCAUAUUUAGUGUGAUGGUUGGAAAGUUUUGUCGGUGUAGGAUGAGCUCGCGGGGUAUCAGCUUGUUGGUGGGGUAAUGGCCUACCAAGGCGGCGACGGGUAGCCGGCCUGAGAGGGUGGACGGCCACCUUGGGUCUGAGGUACGGCCCAGACACCUACGGGAGGCAGCUGGGGGGAAUAUUGCACAAUGGGCGCAGGCCUGGUGCAGCGACGCCGCGUAGGGGAUGACGGCCUUCGGGUUGUAGACUCCUUUCGCUAGGGACGAAGCUUUUUGUGACGGUACCUAGAUAAGAAGCACCGGCUAACUACGUG